CCGACGGUGAGGGAUGAAAGCUGGGGGAGCAAACCGGAUUAGAUACCCGGGUAGUCCCAGCUGUAAACUAUGCAAACUCAGUGAUGCAUUGGCUUGUGGCCAAUGCAGUGCUGCAGGGAAGCCGUUAAGUUUGCCGCCUGGGAAGUACGUACGCAAGUAUGAAACUUAAAGGAAUUGGCGGGGGAGCACCACAAGGGGUGAAGCCUGCGGUUCAAUUGGAGUCAACGCCAGAAAUCUUACCCGGAGAGACAGCAGAAUGAAGGUCAAGCUGAAGACUUUACCAGACAAGCUGAGAGGUGGUGCAUGGCCGUCGCCAGCUCGUGCCGUGAGAUGUCCUGUUAAGUCAGGUAACGAGCGAGAUCCCUGCCUCUAGUUGCCACCAUUACUCUCAGGAGUAGUGGGGCGAAUUAGCGGGACCGCCGCAGUUAAUGCGGAGGAAGGAAGGGGCCACGGCAGGUCAGUAUGCCCCGAAACUCUGGGGCCACACGCGGGCUGCAAUGGUAACGACAAUUGGUUUCGAAUCCGAAAGGAUGAGGUAAUCCACAAACGCUACCACAGUUAUGACUGAGGGCUGCAACUCGCCCUCACGAAUAUGGAAUCCCUAGUAACUGCGUGUCAUUAUCGCGCGGUGAAUACGUCCCUGCUCCUUGCACUCACCGCCCGU
rnacentral:rRNA from 1 species